rnacentral:rRNA from 1 species
UGGGGAAUUGUUCACAAUGGGCGCAAGCCUGAUGACGCAACGCCGCGUGGGGGAUGAAGGUCUUCGGAUCGUAAACCCCUGUCGAAUGGGACGAAUAAUUCGCGAGCUAAUACAUCGCGGAAAUGACGGUACCGUUAAAGGAAGCCACGGCUAACUCUGUGCCAGCAGCCGCGGUAAUACAGAGGUGGCAAGCGUUGUUCGGAAUUACUGGGCGUAAAGGGCGCGUAGGCGGCCAUCUGAGUCAGACGUGAGAUCCCCCGGCUUAACCUGGGAACUGCGUCUGAUACUGGAAGGCUUGAGUAUGGGAGAGGGAUGUAGAAUUCCAGGUGUAGCGGUGAAAUGCGUAGAUAUCUGGAGGAAUACCGGUGGCGAAGGCGGCAUCCUGGACCAUUACUGACGCUGAGGCGCGAAAGCUAGGGGAGCAAACGGGAUUAGAUACCCCGGUAGUCCUAGCCCUAAACGAUGAAUACUUGGUGUGGCGGGUAUCGAUCCCUGCCGUGCCGAAGCUAACGCAUUAAGUAUUCCGCCUGGGGAGUACGGUCGCAAGGCUGA